rnacentral:lncRNA from 1 species
CGUGGGUUUUGUUUUGGUUGAGCGAAAGCAGGUCCAGCUCCCGGGCAAAGGGCUGGCUGUCGGUGGGCUGCGGGCACAAACAGUGCUCGGGGGAGCCCAGCCCAUCGCCCAGUAAGGCAGGGCACGGCACGGAAAGGAAGGCACAAACCCAAGGACAGUGUCACCGUUAUGUAAAUCCCCCCCGUGACGACGCUGUAUGUUUUAUGGAUGGUGUGUUUGCCGAUGUUCCUGCAUGUGUGUGCAGCUAAAGAAAUGCCUUUGAUUGCUGGAUUAAAAAAAAAAAAAAAUAAUAAAAAAUCACAAGAACCGUAAGGACA